UUUUAUUUAAUUGUUUUAAUUAUUUUCUUUUACGUUUUGAAGGGAUUCAUCACUGUGAAAACAGAUGUAAAAUAUAUGAAGGAUUUAGAUUGAGAUCAUUUCUAAGGGAGGUGCCAGGAGCCCAACUAAUCAGGUUGGGCCUAGAAGAUUUGCAUCAACAGCCCAAUGAAAAUAUAGGCUUUAAAUAUAAGGGACCAUUCUGUAUUGGAAAGAAAGAUGUUGUGUGUGUGUGUGUGUGUGUGUGUGUUCCCAUAGACUGUGAAGACUACUGUAAAGUCAUUGUUUUCGGCUGUUGAGUAAUAAGCCUAACCUGAUGACUCAUUGUCUACCACGUAAGCAAACCAGGAGCGUCAUAUAAUCGGUUUGUUGUCAGGUGUGUGUGGUCUGGUUAUCUGUGAUCUGUUUGUCAGUGUGUGUGUGUGUGUGUGUGGUUUGGUUAUCUGUGAUCGGUUUGUUGUCAGGUGUGGUUUGGGUAUCCCGUUGAUUGGCUGUAAUGCUAUUUCUGCCUACAUGACUACUUGCUUUCAGUUGACCUUGAUCCCAUUAGUGCGUGACCUUCAGAGAUGUAGAUAGAUGGAUGUACAUCUGAACUUCAAUGGUGCUCCCAGCGUUGUUAAAUGACCAGAACCCUAUUUGUGUGGAGGGAGGAAAGUUGACAUAUCUUUGCCUAAAUUGUAAAAUAAACUGAAUUAUUUGAAUCGUAGAUUCUUAAUCGUGUGUAGUCAGUGGUCAUGGGUGAUGUGGGUGAUCCAUUUGGAUGUGAAGAAAUCUGAAGGAGUUUAGGGACACGCUUGAGCUAUUCAACACUGAAUAGAAUGGCUCAUCUCUACGGUACGGGAAUGGAUCUCUACUGUGGCCCUUAUCUCUAUGGUACAGAGCUGGGUGAUCCAUUUGGAUGUAAAUAAAUCUGAAGGAGUUUAGGGACACGCUUGAGCUCCUCAACACUGAAUGGAAUGGCUCAUCUCUAUGGUACAGGAAUGGAUCUCUGCUGUGGUCCUUAUCUCUAUGGUACAGAGUUGUUCCAGAGUCAGCCAGCGUCUUUGUUGAGUUUUGUCUUUGUUCCUUUCGGGUAAAAGGGAUGCAUUUUUCUCAUGUGAUUGUCUGUACAUUUUGACUUUUUUUUUUACUUUUAUUUUCUUUGUAGUUUGUCAUUUUGAUAAUGAAGAACAUGAUGUUGUAUCUCUUUAACUGGGUUGAAUUGAAGGACAUGCUGUUGUAUCUCUUUAACUGUGUUGAAUUGAAGGACAUGCUGUUGUAAUCUCUUUAACUGUGUUGAAUUGAAGGACAUGCUGUUGUAUCUCUUUAACUGUGUUGAAUUGAAGGACAUGCUGUUGUAAUCUCUUUAACUGUGUUGAAUUGAAGGACAUGCUGUUGUAUCUCUUUAACUGUGUUGAAUUGAGCCCAAUUGCAGACGAAACGGCCCCAGGCCUUCAGUGGAUCUGCCGCCAACAAGCGAAAAACACAGACUGCUGACCUCUAUGGCUCUGGGGCCCCAUGUAGCCUCGUCUCGUUCCGAUGUAGCCUCGCCUCGUCUCAUCUGGACUGGAGUUUGAGAGCCCUCAUCAUGAAGUCUAUUAGCAAAUGAAAUCAUAAGGUCGUAGGUCAGGCGGAGCGCUGGAUCUCUCAUGAUUUGUGUUCCUCUUUCAUUACCAGAAUUUGUCUAUUGCAAAUAAAAGUGAC
ensembl:lncRNA